GAUCUUUGGCGACGAGGCCCUGGAAGGAGUGCUGGGCACGUCCCACGAGUAAGAUGGCAGAAACUUUCCUCCCUGCCUGUCUCUGGGAAUAGC
ensembl:snoRNA SNORD83A small nucleolar RNA, C/D box 83A